rnacentral:tRNA from 1 species
AAAGAAUUAGUUAAUUUAUAACAUUAGUUUGUCAAACUAAAAUUAUUAUUCCUAAUAUUUUUUU